CCCUUAGAUGUUCUGGGCCGCACGCGCGCUACACUGUUCGACGCAGCGAGUCUUAACCUUGACCGAAAGGUUUGGGUAAUCUUCAGCAAAGUCGAACGUGAUGGGGAUCGAUCAUUGCAAUUAUUGAUCGUGAACGAGGAAUUCCUAGUAAGUGCAAGUCAUCAGCUUGCGCUGAUUACGUCCCUGCCCUUUGUACACAUCGCCCGUCGCUACUACCGAUUGAAUGGUUUAGUGAGAUCUCUGGAUUGACGCUGGCUAGGGGGCGACCCUUGGCCAGACUGUUGAGAAACUGCUCAAACUUGAUCAUUUAGAGGAAGUAAAAGUCGUAACA
rnacentral:rRNA from 1 species